GAUGAAGAACGUAGCGAAAUGCGAAAAGUAGUGUGAAUUGCAGAAUUCAGUGAAUCAUCGAAUCUUUGAACGCACAUUGCGCCCCUUGGUAUUCCAUGGGGCAUGCCUGUUCGAGCGUCAUUUGUACCCUCAAGCUCUGCUUGGUGUUGGGGCCUGCUGCACUGGCAGCCCUUAAAAUCAGUGGCGGCGCCAUCUGGCUCUAAGCGUAGUAAUUCUUCUCGCUAUGGAGUCCUGGUGGAUGCUUGCCAUCAACCCCCAAUUUUUCUAUGGUUGACCUCGGAUCAGGUAGGGAUACCCGCUGAACUUAAGCAUAUCAAUAAGCGGAGGA
rnacentral:misc_RNA from 1 species